UCCAUUCGUCUUCCAAACCUCUUUCUUUUUCGCUUACGAUUAGAGCAGGUACAAAAAAUCGAAUUCCCAUUUCUUUUUACAACUUUUUUAGGCACCUUACAAAAUCAACCCUCAAUUUGAUUUUCUAUGGCCAAUGGAUUCGUUUGCAUCUUCGUACCAACUGUCAACUAGGUUUAAUUAUGUUGUUCUUGCCCAUGGUAGCUGCCAAAUUCAAAGCACUUUAUCCCAGCAGCCGAUUAAUGGAGUCAAGCUCCACUACUUCCAUGUUCGUUCCAUAUUUAGGGGUUAAGUAUAGGGUCUGAACAUGAUGAUAGAAGAAGCUGACGAGAGAGCACGUUGGAUUCGGUGAAGGACGGAGAGGGUAUUGUCCGGGUCGGUUGUGUUGUUCUGUUACAGCAAAAUCGGGUUCCCGUUUUUUAAUACAUGCUUCGCCUUUGUUGUCUCUGCCCUUGCUCCAGUUUGUAGUCAGACUCUUUCUGUGAUUUCAAUUUUAUUUUUUGUUGUUGUAUUGUUAAGGUUUUUGUGGGAUUCGGUUCUUUGGGUUUUCCGAUUUUCAAGCUUUGUUUGUUGUUUUUUUUGGUAGGAUUUUGUUUGUCGCGUCUCUGAAACAUGUGACUCCAAAUAGGGGUUUGUUGUUGGAACAAUCAUCUUAUGUACAAGCAACUGGAAAAGCUCACGUCUGUUAAUAUUCAGCGAAGAAGUAUUAUUUAUGUACUUACUUCCACCUAUAAUCUUCGAUGUUGGGUAAGGUGAAGAAGUCUGACAGCACAGAAGCGUUGAAUAGGCUCGAAUUAUUGAUUUCAGUGGAUUUUCCCCGAUUUAGGGUUUGACCAAAACAAUACCGUCAAUUUUAGCCUUGCAGGAACAAGAGUUAGAGAGAGAUUGAUAUUGAUGGCCUUCUUCCGGACUUCCAUUUUAUUCCUAUCAAGUAACUUCACAACCUUCUUUCUUCUUGAUAAUUUUCCUUUCUCUUUGAUGCUGUUGAAUUUGAUCUCAGUUUUUCAUCUUAUUAUUAUGUGUGCCUUUUGGAUCAUCUUAAAAUAGAUACUUGAUAGAGGACAACCCACGUGGGUCUGCUGGUUGAUUACACAAUUUCAGAGAUCUCAUCACAAAAGUAACAAGAAAAAACUAUCUUUGUUUUUGGUAUUGGCUUCUCAUGUAUCAUAGGAGCUGAUUUGAUCCUAAGGUGGUACUAUAACCUGGACUUAUGUUUGUGAUUAAUGCUCAAAAAAUGGAGUCCAUUUGAGUUGCACGACAGGUGUUUGACGAAAUGCUUAAAAUAGAUAUUUAAUCCCAAAAUUUCCCUUUUAUGACAUAUGUAUCACCCGUAACUCAUCUUUGUGAAACAUUGAGUCUUUAGAUAGGAAAUUGAGACCUUUCAAUCUUUGAUUUUGAAUUUGCAGGUCUGUAAAUUAAUACUUUUAAUUCUCUAAUUGGAGGUCAUGGAUUAAAAGUUCGAAGAUUGAUAUGUGUGACAGGGAACUCAACAGAAAAGAAGAGACUCCAGUUCCAAGUUCCUAAGGUGGAUGAAAAGUUCAAGGAACUCCUUGAUAAAGAUAUCACGUUGGCUGGGGUUCAUAAGGAGAAGAAAUUGUCUUUCAUCAAAGCAUGGGAGGAAAAUAAAAAGUCAAAGGUGAGCAGGUAGUCCUUAACAAUUAAGAUUGCUUCUAUCCACCAUAAUAAGCAUGUUGCUUCCAUGGUUAUCAUGUUCAUUAAAAUCGUAUUGCUGACAUGACUUUAUUGCAGAGUUCAUUGUCUUACAAGAAUUUCAUCAACUACCUGUGAAGUGAUGACCUUCUUUAAGACAAAUUUAUGGAAUGAGAUUAGUGUUUUAUCAUUUUUUUCCUUUCAACUAUCUUGGUAUAAAAAAAACAAUUGGAUCAUUUUGUUUUAUCUAUUUUAUGUUAGGUAUUGAGAUUAUCAAUACAACAUCUAGAGGAUAGAUUGAUAUAUUGAAGUCCCAUAAUACUAACUUAAGGAGAGUCCCAAGAUAUUUCUUUUACAAACCAUAGAAAGUAAUUACUUUUUUUCAAGUUUCA